AUUUAUUGUGACAACGAUAAACUCUAACUCAUGAUGUUUACAAACCCCCAAACCCUGGCUGUAUGACUGGUACAUGCCAACAACCAUUGGGAUCUCUGCAGGGGUGCAAUGCCUUGCUGGGAUGAAGUAACCAGGAAUUGGUAUCAACCCAUCUUUAUUUGUUGGACCAGUAGUUACUGAGAAGUCUUUUGAUGGUUACCAGGUGUACUGGAAAGCGCCACUGCGUGGUAGCAGGAUCAACUGAAGAUGAGCUCUUGUGUGAAUAAACACAAAGCUCCGCUCUGCUCUGCUCUGCUCUGCCCCGCUCUGUUCUGCUCUGCCCCACUCUGCUCUGCUCUGCUCUGCCCCGCUCUGCUCUGCUGUGAUAGAAUUCAGGAAAAACAAACUGAGCCACUUCUAGGGGAUGUUGUGGAUGGAUUAUGAUCAAAGGAGCUGGCUUGAGAGGCAGAAGUGUGGACAAUUAUGUGACAAAAAAAAUAUCAAGCAGAGGAACUGGGAGAAUAAAUGCUCCUCCAUUAAUGUAUUUACUACUGGUCAGAGGUUUUAGAGCGCCUUUCUCAUUUAAUGGUUUUCUUUAUGUUUAUGACUAUUUAAAGUGUAUGUAGAUUCUCACUGAAGGCCCCAAAACAGUGAAUGAACACAUAUGCAAUUAUGUUCCAAACAAGAAAAUGUAAAAGAACUUUAAAUAUGUUUUAUACUGUAUUUUAGAUUCCUUAAAGUAGCCGCCCUUUGCUGUGAUGACUGAAAUAUUAACCUUUGUCUCUCAAAGAACUUCUGGGCAGUUUUUUCAAGACUCUUUAAAAGAAACAUUUCAGGUGACCACUUUCAUGAAACUUAUGGAGAGAAUACCAAGAGAGCAAAGCAGUAAUCAGAGCAAAGGGUGGCUAUUUUGAAGAAUCCCAAAUAUAAAAAUGUUUAAAGUUAUUUCACACUUUUUGUAAACUACAUAAUUCCUGUGUCUUCAUUUAUAGCUUUGUUGCCUUUGCUGAGAUUCUACAAUUUAAAUAGUGAUGAAAAUAAAGAGACUCAUUAAGGACUGGAUGGAGAGCAUUUGUGAAUAGCUAUUUCUUAAUCUUGCUACAGGUUCUGGACCUUAACUAGGUGGUUCUAACAGAUUAAUAUACAAUGAUUAAACCAUUCCAUUGUAGUUCUGACUGUAUGUGUUGUGUCAUUCUCCUGCUGGUAGAUUCCCUCAUGCUCCAUCCACUCCAGGACUUGUUCCACCUUUCUUUUAACAGCGGGUUUCUUCUUGCCAGCCUUCCAAAAAGAGAAUAUUUAUGGAGAGCACAUUUAAUAGCUUUCCUUAAUAGUUGUCCUGUUGAAGGAUUAUCCCAGCUGAGUUGUAGAUCUCUGCAGUUCCUCCAAGGUUACCACAGGCCUCUUAGCUGAAUGACAGAGAUGCAUAUUUGAGAUGGGUAUUUGGGAGGGCUGCAACUGGAAUGUGACAUCUGAUCCCUACAGUGGAUUUGGUCAAUUAUCAUAUUAGUGCACCACAUGUAUAUGCGGCAUAUUGGCAUAGAAGCUACAGAGAAUGUAUUGUAUACAGGCCAGGACAAUAUUUAAGUGUUAAUUAGUAUUUCUGCCCAACAGCUACAAUUCAAACAGCUAAAUAUUCAGUUAACAAACUGUUUGGGUGAAAACGAGUUUUUCAAAAUGUGGUUUUAAAUUGCUUGAUCAAAUAUCAAAAAUGAGAAAAUUGAAGAAGCUACAAAAAUGAAGAAGCUUCCUGUUUUGGAUCUGAAAAGUCUAGAAAUUGUUUUUGCUUUAACUUGAUUCUUGUACAAUGUUUGUUACAAUGUUUUUAUUUUAGAACAAUCAAACAUAAAUCUAGAGAAAAAUCCCGCAUUGUUGAGGAUCUGAAUUAGUAGAGCCUACAUUUUGAAGUUAUUUGUAAUUUUUCAAAACUUGCAUAAUCUUAAAAUACGUUAUGUACAUAGUGAGUGUUUAUUUUAUGUUGCUGAUUUUUGCUUUUACAGUGACUGUAUGUUGAGUUCCUUGUUUCAUUGCAUCUGAGUGUGUAUUUCAGAAGAUGUGACUGACCAAAUAUAGGGAUGUCAGGCUUGGCACUGCUUUAGCUAACAGGCUGUGAGAGAAAUUUAAACACUUUGUAGCUCGUUGGAAAUGUUAUUGCAAUUUUUAUUAAGAGAUGUUUCAAAAUGUUGAAAACUAUGUCAGACUUUUCUUAUCAUUUUUAGUUUUCAGUUACAGGUUUUUUUUUAUGCUAAAAUUCUGAGGAUGGAUAAAGUAAUACAACUGAAAAAAUAAGACUGGGCAUUUUGUUCCACAUUGAAUGAACAUUUUACUUUGUUUAUGCAUCUGGAUAUUUAUUUAAACUAUCAGUAUUGUUGUUUCCUGCUCAGUUCUUGCUAAUGAGGGUGUGCAAGAUUAUUUCAGGCUGCAGUUUCCGUGUGUAUGUGGUGGCCAGGAUUUAACACUGUCCCUCCCUGCAACAUUACAUAAUUUUGCUGGCCACCUGAACUUCCCAGAGGUUCACUGAGAGACGGCCAAAGGUUAAUAUUUCAUUCAGCAUUCAGCAAAGGGCAGCUGCUUUAAGGAAUCUAAAAUAAAAACCAUAUUUAAAGUUUUAUUUUUUUUUUUACAAUUGUUUGCUUGCUACAUAAUUUCUUAUGUGUUCAUUCACAGUUUUGAUGCCUUCAGUGAGAAUCUACAUACAAUGUAAAUAGUCAGAAACAUAAAGAAAGCCAUUAAAUGACAGUGUUUCUAAUGGACAGCUUUUGACUGGUAGUGUAAAUUCUCUAUAUACAUUCUCUGUAUUCUCUAUAUAUUCCUCGUGUCUUUUGAUAGUGUUUUAUGUAGACCAACCCACUAUGAUGGACCUCAUGGAUCUGCAUUGGUGCUUCUAUUGUUUCUGAUGUACAUGCUACCUCCUGUGUACAGUUUGUGCGCUUCACAAAGUUGAAGGUCUGAAGAAAGUUAAAUGAAGAAAAGACUGAAAUCAUUUUGUGUGCUUCAAACAAACUUUUUUCCCUGAUUAUGAAAAUUCUUCUUGCUUUAGCCACUUAUGCUAAAUCUACAAUCACAA